UACUAGCCCUGACAGAAGCGACAUCCUUUUUCUGGCUUCUUUAGCAAGGAAAAGAUAUAGCGGAUGGCAGGUUUGUUA
rnacentral:sRNA from 1 species